UACGGAGGGUGCAAGCGUUAUCCGGAUUUACUGGGUUUAAAGGGUGCGUAGGUGGGCCUGUAAGUCAGUGGUGAAAUCUUCAAGCUUAACUUGGAAACCGCCAUUGAUACUAUAGGUCUUGAAUUAUCUGGAGGUAAGCGGAAUAUGUCAUGUAGCGGUGAAAUGCUUAGAGAUGACAUAGAACACCCAUUGCGAAGGCAGCUUACUACGGAUUGAUUGACACUGAGGCACGAAAGCGUGGGGAUCAAACAGG
rnacentral:rRNA from 1 species